AAAGUCGUAACAAGGUUUCCGUAGGUGAACCUGCGGAAGGAUCAUUACCGAGUUAGGGUUGCUGAAAAUAUGCGCCCGACCUCCAACCCUUUGCUUACUUGACCCUUUGUUGCUUCGGCAGGCCCGUCUUCGGGCCGCCGGGAGCCUUUCCAGGCUUCUGGUCAGUGCCUGCCGAUGGCCCAUUAAACCCUUGCUUAAACGUGUCGUCUAAGUAAUUGUUAAAACAAAUAACUAAAAACUUUCAACAACGGAUCUCUUGGUUCUG
rnacentral:misc_RNA from 1 species